rnacentral:tRNA from 1 species
GGCUCCAUAGUAUAGUGAUUAGCACGUCUGCUUUACACGCAGAAGAUCCUAGGUUUGUGCCCCAGGUGGAACCA